rnacentral:lncRNA from 1 species
UUUGUUGGUGCCUUUCAUCUAUUUGAUAUUAAUGACUCUGCCACUCGAGCCAUGUUUUGUAGUAUUAUAUUUUCUUCUUUCAAGUCUUUUGUAGUCUCAGAGUAAUAAAUUUAUACAGACAGAUUAAAAAAUGUCACAUCUGGAUUUUGAAUCUAUGACCUAAAACUAACUUUCCUUAUAUCGAGAACAUUCAAUAACUUGUAUAUAUAAAAACUAGAUGGGCGAGGCCCGUGCAUAUUAAUUUACAAAUAAAUGGGGACGGAAAGACAGUUAAGUUCAGCAGAACAAUAAUUUUGCGAGCAGUACAUGUUUUAAAAAAAAAACAGCCUCAGCAUAAUUAACUUCAACUUCAGAUUGUUCCGUGGGUUGUUCUUCUCCAGCAACUUCCAUAACAUCAAUUGAUCCAUCCACAUUAACAUCGGUACAAUAGCUUCAGACCUUCACUCAAUUUGGGGAAGAAAUCGUCAGGUCUUAAGCGCCAAGCUCUGAAUACCCUAAAUAAAACUGACAAAUCAUUGCAAAGCCUCUCAAAUGUGGUGUCAGAGAACUUAACUUUGGUCAUCAAAAUAUCAUUAAAAACUAACUUACUACACGAAUAUUAAUUUUGCAAGGAUUUCAUCUUGAUAUUCAACAAUACAUAUUUGUUGAGCGCUUUCUUGCUCAAAGGCUCAAGUGAAUGGCAUACGAUAUUAAUACGACAUCUACAAACUUCAUCAGAUAUGACAAUGUAAAACCGUAAGCAUGCGAAAUGCGAUGAUUAUGUACUUAUUAUUAAAAUGAGGUAAGAUUAAAAAUAGUAGACGCCUAGUCGGCAAUGUAGUAAGGUCUUCUGCUUUCAAUUUCUAUUACCACAUCAAUUUUUUAGCAAUAAAAUCAGAUAGGUAGAAGAUUCGAGACACGUAGGUAGCAGAUUUGAUCCUUAAAUGAUUCUAUAUGUGGAGACAUGCUUACACUAUCAACUCAUGUUGAAAAAGAAUGGUCAAGAAGAUAGUAUUUCUCUGGUUUCGUCUCAUUACUGCAACUGAAAGCUCUACAAAGCGAAGACUGUUGCACAAUUAUUAAAAAGAAAGCACAAAAAGACAUAGCAAAAUACACAGUAAAGUCCGACAAAAGGGGUUCGAGAGAACAAAGUGUAAGCAGACCUUAACUCUAUCUCAGAAGGUAGAGAGAUUACUUCCGAUAGACUCUCAGCUCAAGGAAAAGGCAAUUCAAAACAUUAUAGAAUUCAAACUCACAGGAGAUCAAUCUUAAAUAAGUUACAAUAAGCUCCAUAAAUACUAUACUAUAAAACGUAAUUUGAAAGGAACUUACCAGUUUACAUUGCUUUGGAGUGUGUUAAUUUCACCAUUAUUACUCAAGACAAGCAUAGAGAACCUAAAGUGUACCUACACCAUAAACACCCAAAAAAUAUUAUAUUUGGUAAAAUUGAUUUUCUUUUAGAAAUACAAAAACAAAAAUUCAGAGAUAUGUCGUCUGAAUGUAGUGAUAUAUUAUAAACAUUUCCACCUAUCAUAUUCGUCUUUCUAGGAAUCUAUCUAUUGCAAGAAACUAUAGAACUGAGUUUGCACAUUAAGGAACUGAAAGAUUAAUCGAAAAUUUACCUGAAUUUCGUUCAUCAGUUUCAUAGCCUCAAUGAUACAAAUUAUUGGCCCUUUUUGGAGCUCGUCUCCUACCUGAUAAUUCACCAUUUUAGUUAGGGUUAUGAGAAAACAGCAAGACCAGCAUAUAGCGGUAAAGAGAAAAGAGAAGUUGUAGGCAAGUGCAGAGAGGUAAGCAUUCUCACUUUGAUUGCUAGAAGAUGUGAACAAUGUGAAAGUGAAUAUGUCCUUACUUAAAUAUUUCUAUGGUUCUGGAUUAAUUCAAACAUUUAAUGUCAAAUUUCACAUAAUAUUAAGGCAUUCAGGGACAUGCUAUAGUGCAACAUGAAAAAUUAAUCUUCAUAUAGACAAGAAACCAACAGCUCACUACCAGUCUCUUCCCUCCCCAGAAAGGAUACUAAAGGAAAGAAAGAGAAAAGGGGGAAAAAGAGGAAACAACAGUCAGCAACAACAACAAAUAUUGAAUUUAUCCAGUUUUGAUCGAAGUACUCAAAAUUGAUUGAUCAAAUUGGGUAUGGAUCCUCCCCACACCCAUGUCAUGUCGACACGUGUGCAACACCGAAAGUGAAGAGUCCGAACAACUUAGCCUUAAAUAAAACCCUAUCCCUCAGCCCACCCUUCUCUCAACAUCACACUGUAGUAAACAUCCAAAGGCUUAAACUUGCACUAUCCCUUUACAGAAAAGCAGGUAAUCCAUUUAGUAUUAAAGUCACCAAGUUCAUAGAGUUGUCACAUGUAUGUAGGUCUCAAAUUUUAAACAAAGUUGCAAACAGAGUCCUGUAAACUUGUAGGAAUAGCAGUCCAUGUCCAAAUUUUUCAAGAAUUUAAAUCAGCCCAUUUACCAAAGUAAUAAAAAAAAUCCUUCCCUUAAUAACAAAUUCGGAAUAACAAAGCCGGGGGUCUUUCGGAAACAGCCUUUCUACUUCAUCAGAGGUAGAGGUAUGGACUGCGUACAUCUUACCCCCCCAGACCCCACUAAGUGGGAAUACACUGGGUUUGUUGUUGUUGUUGUAAUAACAAAUUCUAAUGAAAAUCCUUGUCAACAUCUCCUUUCUCUUUUAAAGUUUCAUUAAUUUUCAAGUGACAAAAAUUACAAAACAUACAACACAGUCAUUUUCAGUUGGCUAUGUUCAAAAAAAGUAGGCAAAGUACCAAAAUGUUUGGUCUUGACAUUUGGGGAUCAUUUUUACAUCAGGAUAUUCGGAUAUCUGGACUAUAUCUCAACCUCCGAACCAUCAGAAUGAUUUUCAUUUUCUUCAAAUGACAUAUUGAACCUAAAGAUUGAUAAGAGAGAUAAUCUAUGAGGUCACACUGUUAUUUCCUUCUACAGGUACGCGGAAUCUGUAUAUGCAGAACAACAACUUCAACUAGAGUUCAAGUAUAAACAAGAACACAAUGAAGUAUAUCAAAUACCCUCAACACAAGAUCAAAAUGACCUUUCCAAGAGGUGUUUUUUAUUUUUUCAGAAAAUAGAUGAAACAGAAAUGAAUAAGGCCAAGUCGUCCGAAUUCACGGAGUUUCCUUAAGGAAACAAUUCCUUUCACUGUACCCAAGGUUAUGGAAAUUUUCAGGAUAAAAUGGUCUUCAAUCCAAAUAUAGCGGUACCUCAAAUAUUUGGACUCGUCGAACGCACUCAACAGUUUGAAUGAUCACACAGAAUUUUUAAAGAAAAGUUGAAUGAUCACACAGAAUUUUUAAAUAAAAGAAGAGUAUUUUUUAUUCUGAAAUUUUUCGUAUCAAAACCUGUGGAAGAAAGCAGGUUUUUAUAACCAUAACAUGCCUCUUCUGCAAAGAGGCAAUGGUUCAUGUCAAAGGUUACACAUGUUCUAUAAAUUCAUGUCUGUUCAUCCAAAGAUUGCAUCUUUUCCUGAACAGUCAUCUCUCUCCAUGAAUCAGUGUGUCCUUUUGCUGAAGGAUUGCAUCCUUCUGAAACAACACAUCAGUUCGAAACAGUGCAGCUAUUUUGAAGCAUUAGUUCUGUUCAGAAUUAAUGAAGCAUCAGUUUGAAAUUUCUGAAGCAUUGCAUCUGCUACUGCAUAAAUGCAUAAAUGGAGAAUACUGUUGCGUUUUGGUAGAUUCGGAUCAUCAAAUAAAAUUUGUCCAAAAAGAUAGAUCUCAUCGAUCGAUCAUUUUCCGAAUCCGAAGCCAAGCGACGACGGCGGCGCGAGGCAUCUCUUAUUCCUUGCCUCACUUAUCCAUGUGGGAGUGGUGUUUCACAAUAUAAACACUUUAAAGCUUCUUUCUCUCACCAAUGUGGGAGAAUUUAGUAAGCUUUCCUAUUUUUGAGUACACUUUCCAUAUUGGUGUGAUCUCAAUUUUUCUCUUCCACUUGGUUUUCUCCAUUUUCCAUUCACACCUCUCAUUUACUAUGAACCCAACACACACUUCAAAGGAAGAUUUAGAGUCCCAAAUUCAUAUGUAGCAACAAAAUACUUAUCGGGUUAAAAAAGUGAAUUCAUUAGAUGAGUCACAGAAAUACAUCAUAAAGAGGAAGAAGUCUUCACAGUAGUUUCUCGGUCAAACAGAUGAACUUGUCCAAAAAAACAGAAAUGAGUAAUUCACUGACUAUUUUGCAAAGAACUUAUAGAUGCACUUCACAUCAUGAUCAAAAUACCUGUAAUAUAGAAACUUGCAUCAGGGACAACAAUUUUGCUAAGAGCGUAAUCCAUAGCACAAAAUAUUCUAAAUGAAGUAGGAAAACAAAAAAAGAAAAACAGAACUCAGAAAGACUGUUUAGAUGGAAUAAAAUGGGGAAGUAUCUUACAUUUGGGCGUUUGGAUGAGAAAUUGACACCAUUUGUGGGAAAUCAAUCAUGGUCACCUUUUCAUCAUCAUCAAUCUAUAAUCCAAUUAAUCACAUAAGGAGAAUCAGAAAAAUGAUUAACAGGUCUAAUAUAAGCCUAUGCUCAUACCUCACAUAAUCUGAAGAUUAAUAGUACAAUUUUGAGAGCAAAAAUCAAACAACAGUACAAAAAUAUUGAAGUAAUGAGAGCUAAAGAAACAAAUAGUGCUUUACAAAAGUUUUUCUUUUCACCAAACACCUUGCGUGCAUUGAUGUAUGACAACAGUGUAACAACGAAAGUCAUUUACAGGAAUCACGUAUUCACAGUGAAAGCAAACCAAAUUCGAGAGAAGUCUCAUUUUACUCCAUGCAUACCAAUUUACAGAACUAAAAUUCGAAACACAAAUGGCGUACCUGAGUAUUUAUUUUCAAACAGCAAUAUACAUACAAAUAGCAUGAGCAUAGUAAAAUUAAAUUGAAAGCAAUAAAUCCAUGAGUAAAUCAAACCAAAUUAAAAACAUGCAAGUAUAAAAUUCGAGAAUUUGGUGAUAAAGAAAUGGACCUGAUUUAACUCAACCUCAAAAACUAGCUUAAAAUUAUCUAAGAUCUAUAAGAAAAUCAAGGUUAACUAUCUAUGUGAAACUCCAAUAGAAAAACAAAUGUAGAGGUGAUUUCAACACUUUACACGUGGAUAUAAGCAAUGUUAGCCAGUAAAAUUGGGCCACACAAAGCAAAAUAUUAAAGGCUUCCUUUGUACUUUUCAGGCUGUUGUUUGUACUAUCAAAAUUACUCUUUAUACAACUAGUUUUCUGUUUUCUUGGUUGGAAAGAAGAUAUGCAUUUAAGAUUAAUGUAAUAUACAGUUGCCCCCAGUUGGUGUGGGGGUUUCAAAAAUAUUGUUUGGGACCAUAUCCCAAUCCUGUAGGAAAAUAGAUGAUUGCUUAAUCGUCCAGUUAAAACAUGUGUCCUUUCUAUCUGCUUGAAGGAAAGUAGCAACAAAAUGUGGCAUUUGCCAGUAGUGCUGAAGAUUCAACUGCCUGAGCCUAGCGCCCUCCUUCACAAGUGCAUUCGUUGCUGUAUUUUGCUCCCUGUAAAUCCUUGUUAGGUCUGGUAUAUGCAUUUUCUCCAUUAGUGGCCUACACUAAGUUAAUAUGUUGUGAUAGGAUGGGUGAUCUUUCUCAAGCAUAAAAAUUAAUACAGUAGAGUCAGUUUCGAUGCUA